rnacentral:rRNA from 1 species
UACGUGAGGGUCCGAGCGUUGUCCGGAAUUAUUGGGCGUAAAGAGCGUGUAGGCGGCCAGGUAGGUCUGCUGUGAAAACUCGAGGCUCAACCUCGAGACGUCGGCGGAAACCAUCUGGCUAGAGUCCGGAAGAGGAGAGUGGAAUUCCUGGUGUAGCGGUGAAAUGCGCAGAUAUCAGGAAGAACACCCGUGGCGAAGGCGGCUCUCUGGGACGGUACUGACGCUGAGACGCGAAAGCGUGGGGAGCGAACAGG